AUUGAACGCUGGCGGCAGGCCUAACACAUGCAAGUCGAGCGAGCGGCGGACGGGUGAGUAAUGCCUGGGAAAUUGCCCAGUCGAGGGUGAUAAAUACUGGAAACGGUAGCUAAUACCGCAUACCAUCAGAUGUGCCCCGAUGGUAUUAGCUUGUUGGUGGGGUACCGGCUCACCAAGGCUACGAUGCCUAGCUGGUCUGAGCGGAUGACCAGCCACACGGGAACUGAGACACGGUCCAGACUCCUACGGGAGGCAGCAUGGGGGAAGAUUGCACAAUGGGCGAAAGCCUGAUGCAGCCAUGCCGCGGGUAUGAAGAAGGCCUUCGGGUUGUAAAGUACUUUCAGCGGGGAGGCGUUACCCGCAGAAGAAGCACCGGCUAACUCCGUGCCAGCAGCCGCGGUAAUAC
rnacentral:rRNA from 1 species